CUGAACACCCUUCCCCUCACCUCUGGGAGGCGACUCCAACAGCUCUAGUUGUUUAGGGGAAGGUCAUGGCCUUGGACGGGCUUCCCUGAAUCCACCCUGUCGCCUCCCUGACCACCCCCAUGUCCAGGUCCUCAGGGAGCUCUGGAGGCACCGGCUCGGGCCCUGCAGCCGGGCAGGCCUGUGCGGCUCCCAGGCUCCUGCGUGGGGAAGGAAGGGUGGCCAAGACGUGUUUACAGAGAGCCAGCCAGGAAGGGCAAGGGAAGAGGAGGAGCUGUUUCCACUUAUCCUCCCACCUCCUUUUGGCUUUCUCUCCUGGCAUUGCCGGAGGCCAGAGAAGGGAUGGGAAUCUGGCAAAGUGAAAGUAUAUCAUUGUAUUUCCCCAGAGCCCUCCGUCUCAUCUCCCCCCUACGGAAGCCAGGCUGGACUUCUUUCCACCCAGUUUACUUAACACUCAGAGACUCAAAAUUCCUUUCCUGCCGCUGAUGUGGAAGAGGCUUGGAAAUAGGUUCCUUUCCAGGAGAUGAGUGAUAUGGCAGAGAGACAAGCCUUGUAGGUGUGUGGUGUGUAUGUGUAGGAAAAGCCAGUAAUUACCCCUUGCAGAUGGAGCUGACCAAACAUUCUUUCCCAUGGCAACUGAAAACAUAAAAAAAUAAAAUUAAAAAAAUUGGAGGUUACAUAAUUGCCGUCCCUGGAGGAGGAGGAGGAAUGUGGAGAUCAUGGAGUUUCUUGUGGCUUUGGUUGGAGGUGUUGGUGAAGAUACAGAGGUACUGCUGAGCAGCUGAACAGGAUGCUGUUGCUUGCUUUGAAGUGAGGACAUCGAAGAUUUGUUCAGGACCAGGUAGCUGAUGAGAGAGAGAAAAGAAAGAGCCCAGCUGUCAGCCCAGGUCCUCCUCCUUGCUCAGGAGCCACCCACCACACAUGUGACUCUAUGGGGCCUCAUUUUAUUUCUCUCUGGAACUCUCUACUCUCUUUGCAGAUUAUUUGUUAGGACCUCUUAUACAAUUUCCUUUUUUAAUUUAAGGCCAUGUGCCACAAAGCUUUAUUGUGAUGUAUUUAAAUAAAAUAAUCUUUUGUU